rnacentral:tRNA from 1 species
GCCCGAGUGGCGGAAUUGGCAGACGCGCACGACUCAAAAUCGUGUGGAUUUCAUCCAUGAGAGUUCGAGUCUCUCCUCGGGCA